rnacentral:rRNA from 1 species
GUGAGGAAUAUUGGUCAAUGGGCGGGAGCCUGAACCAGCCAAGUCGCGUGAAGGAAGAAGGAUCUAUGGUUCGUAAACUUCUUUUGCAGGGGAAUAAAGUGCAGGACGUGUCCUGUUUUGUAUGUACCCUGAGAAUAAGGAUCGGCUAACUCCGUGCCAGCAGCCGCGGUAAUACGGAGGAUCCGAGCGUUAUCCGGAUUUAUUGGGUUUAAAGGGGGCGUAGGUGGUUUGAUAAGUCAGCGGUGAAAGUUUGCAGCUUAACUGUAAAAAUGCCGUUGAAACUGUCGGACUUGAGUGUAAAUGAGGUAGGCGGAAUGCGUGGUGUAGCGGUGAAAUGCAUAGAUAUCACGCAGAACUCCGAUUGCGAAGGCAGCUUACUAAGCUACAACUGACACUGAAGCACGAAAGCGUGGGGAUCAAACAGGAUUAGAAACCCGAGUAGUCC